AAAGUACCUGGGCACGUCGCCACAACCGCCUUCCCCGCUCGCGGGUGGGUUUCGUCUACCGCGCCGCCACCGCAAUUUGCUGCGCAUCACCAUAGGCGGCCUCGCCGCCAGCAGGAGACCGAUGGGACGCGGCAAAGUCUGGCCCUCCUUCCACCCGCCGGUGCAUCUCACAUCGAGAGGUGACGCCCCCCUCCCCUACCCCGCGGCCCCGCCCGCCCUUGCCAGAUCCCCGCCUCCCUCGCAAGGCCCAACCCGCAUCUGCUCCCACCUCCCCCGUCGCUCUUUGAUCCACCGCCGGCAGGCUGGGUUCGGAGGGGUUGCACCAGCUAUGGCCAUGGUGGAGCUCGAGAACGACGGCGAAGUGGUUGGUUCCGCUCCUCUUCCUGCGCGGGAUUCGCGUGGGCCUCAGCGCGGCGGGGCACGAGCGGAGAUCGGCGCGAUCUGUGGUGGCGGACAACAGCAAGCCUUCGGUGACGAGGUCAGGCGACGCUCGGCAUGAUCUACGGUGGCGGACGGCGGUGAGCCUCAGCGAUGGCGUGGCGGCGGCGGGUCUCAGCACAACGACAGGCGAACAGAUCCUUGAGGCCCACACGCGCCGACGACUCAAGCUGUGGCUGACACCGUCGAGGCAGUGGGCGUCCCCGACGCUUGUUCGCCUCCUCUUCCUCCGCUACCGGUGGCGCGGUUGCCGACCCCGUCCACAUGCCUCUGUCCACCUGCAGAAUCGACCACCUGGGGUCACCGCUGCCGGCCGGGGUUAGGGCGCCGCAAUCGUUGCCCUCCGGGUUCGGGAACCCCCACUGGACCAGCCGAUCUCCCACUCCCGCCGAGGCCUAGACAACGAGGUUCUGGUACUGCAGAUGGGUGAGCGGGUUGGAGAAGGACGAUGCUGUCGAUUGGGACGUUGGCGCAUGCGCUGGUUAGAUCAAGCCAACCGAGUUCAUCUAUGCAGCAAAUACACUGCCGAAGGUCGUCGCAUUACAAAACUUGACCAGAUACUCCUGAACGGCAACAACAUAGCCAUUUUAGUUCCUGGUGGUUCACCCCCAGAUGUGUAAUGAGCUAUCGCUUCCCAGAAUAAUCAUUUGUGGCAAAGGCAGCUCAGUGAACUCCACAGCUUAUAUUACUGAACCAAUGGAUGUUUCCUGAUUUCAAAUCUGUGCUGGGCUCAAAUCUGUUUCUCGUAAUUGUACAGAAGUUUAUUAGCAACUCUGAGAACACUCUUAUGUCUUAUGUGUGGAACUUACUGACCUGAAGUGGAGUGGCUGCAUAGCUGUGCUUAUAUGAUUGGCCAUGUUAAUUCUGGUGUACCUCUGAUAGCUGUUGAAUGCUCAUCAUCAUCCACCGACCGGCGCCAGGUCCGUUAGCUCCACCACCCAGUGCAUCUGGCCGGCCGCAGGCGGAUUCAACGCCUUGCAAGGGAGGUGUUCAGAUGGGGAACCGACGAGGGCCAAAGUCGCUGAUGCGAACAGAGCAUGGGGCCCUGCUCAUUCAGCCGGCGAUUCGAUGGAGCAGGCGAGAGGGCAAGCCACAUGGAGAGGACGGGGAGCUGGUUGCCAAUGGCUGUGCUGCCCCUCCGCCUGCAUAGCCCCCUUCUCCGGAAGUCGACCUCCGAACUUGCUUCCAGACCCGCGCCUCUAUGGAGUUGUCAAGCAGGAUGAAAGAUACAUGAUCUGCUAAUCUGCUUACUAUGCGCAAGUACGUCACAGUUGGCUGGUCAUUCUUCUCGCCGCAUAUAUGUGCAACAGGGAUCUCAGCAAUUUUUUUUCAUUCCGAGUUAUCUGGGUUAUGGUUAGGAAAUGCAGUUUGUAUGCAAUAUAACUUUGUAAAUUGAUUUCAUAAGGAUGGUUGACACUAAGUGCAAGUUGUGAACUGGUUAGGAAAAAAACUUGCAAUUCCACCUUUACGCCAUUUUUGACAGCCAAGUGCAGAUUUUUGUAAAUGUGUACACGUUGAGAAUAUUCGGAAGAUAAAAUAUAUUGAACAGCA